UAACACAUGCAAGUCGAGCGGUAACAGAUCUAGCUUGCUAGAUGCUGACGAGCGGCGGACGGGUGAGUAACGCGUAGGAAUCUACCCAGUAGCGGUGGAUAAGCCAGAGAAAUUUGGUCUAAUACCGCAUACGCCCCUCGGGGGAAAGCAGGGGCUCUUCGGACCUUGCACUAUUGGAUGAGCCUGCGUGAGAUUAGCUAGUUGGUGAGGUAAUGGCUCACCAAGGCGACGAUCUCUAGCUGGUCUGAGAGGAUGAUCAGCCACACUGGGACUGAGACACGGCCCAGACUCCUACGGGAGGCAGCAGUGGGGAAUAUUGCACAAUGGGCGCAAGCCUGAUGCAGCCAUGCCGCGUGUGUGAAGAAGGCCCUAGGGUUGUAAAGCACUUUCAGUCGUGAGGAAAGGUGUGUGCUUAAUACGUACAUACUGUGACGUUAGCGACAGAAGAAGGACCGGCUAACUCCGUGCCAGCAGCCGCGGUAAUACGGAGGGUCCGAGCGUUAAUCGGAAUUACUGGGCGUAAAGCGCGCGUAGGUGGAUUGGUCAGUCAGAUGUGAAAGCCCAGGGCUCAACCUUGGAACUGCAUCUGAUACUGCUAGUCUAGAAUACAGUAGAGGGUAGUGGAAUUUCCUGUGUAGCGGUGAAAUGCGUAGAUAUAGGAAGGAACACCAGUGGCGAAGGCGACUACCUGGACUGAUAUUGACACUGAGGUGCGAAAGCGUGGGGAGCAAACAGGAUUAGAUACCCUGGUAGUCCACGCCGUAAACGAUGUCUACUAGCCGUUGGAAGACUUGAUCUUUUAGUGGCGAAGCUAACGCGAUAAGUAGACCGCCUGGGGAGUACGGCCGCAAGGUUAAAACUCAAAUGAAUUGACGGGGGCCCGCACAAGCGGUGGAGCAUGUGGUUUAAUUCGACGCAACGCGAAGAACCUUACCAACUCUUGACAUCCAGAGAAGAGGCUAGAGAUAGCUUUGUGCCUUCGGGAGCUCUGAGACAGGUGCUGCAUGGCUGUCGUCAGCUCGUGUUGUGAAAUGUUGGGUUAAGUCCCGUAACGAGCGCAACCCUUGUCCUUAUUUGCCAGCACGUAAUGGUGGGAACCCUAAGGAGACUGCCGGUGACAAACCGGAGGGAAGGUGGGGACGACGUCAAGUCAUCAUGGCCCUUACGAGUUGGGCUACACACGUGCUACAAUGGCCGGUACAGAGGGCUGCAAACCUGCGAAGGUAAGCUAAUCUCACAAAACCGGUCGUAGUCCGGAUUGGAGUCUGCAACUCGACUCCAUGAAGUCGGAAUCGCUAGUAAUCGUGGAUCAGAACGCCACGGUGAAUACGUUCCCGGGCCUUGUACACACCGCCCGUCACACCAUGGGAGUGGAUUGCACCAGAAGUAGCUAGCUUAACCUUCGGGAGGGCGGUUACCACGGUGUGGUUCAUGACUGGGGUG
rnacentral:rRNA from 1 species